CAGGUGUUCCUUUGAUUGACAUACAUGGUGACUUUGCUCUUCAGCCUGAGAGUGGUUCAAAUAAGCAAAUUAGAACAUAAGUGUGGCCUUCUGAACACUGUUUACAGGAGACCUGGAGGAGAAAACAGCACCAAAUUUUUCAAGUGACGUGGACUGGCUUGGCAUGUAGCAUAUAUUUUCCAACUGGAAGCUGAUCUGUGCCUAUUCGGAAUCGACCUCAACAG